rnacentral:rRNA from 1 species
CCUACGGGUGGCAGCAGUGAGGAAUAUUGGUCAAUGGGCGCAAGCCUGAACCAGCCAAGUCGCGUGAGGGAUGACUGUCCUAUGGAUUGUAAACCUCUUUUGUCGGGGAGCAAGGCCCGCCACGUGUGGCGGGAAGGAGAGUACCCGCAGAAAAAGCAUCGGCUAACUCCGUGCCAGCAGCCGCGGUAAUACGGGGGAUUGGAGGGUUAUCCGAAUUUAUUGGGUUUAAAGGGUGCGUAGGCGGAAGGUUAGUUCAGUGGUCAAAUGUCGGUGCUCAACACCGGACUGCCGUUGAAACUGGUCUUCUUGAGUGAGCGAGAAGUAUGCGGAAUGCGUGGUGUAGCGGUGAAAUGCAUAGAUAUCACGCAGAACUCCGAUUGCGAAGGCAGCAUACCGGCGCUCAACUGACGCUGAGGCACGAAAGCGUGGGGAUCGAACAGGAUUAGAUACCCUGGUAGUC